rnacentral:tRNA from 2 species
AGCUUUGUGGUGUUAUCAUGUUAGAUUGCAAACCUAAAGACGCGGGCCAACCCCCGCCAAAGCUU